GGCCGCAGACCUCGAUGGUCCAAUCACUCCAGUUGGCCUUGGGUACGGCUCCAUGGUUACGCACGUAGUGGAGUGGGACCGGGGUGAUGAACCCGUGGUGCAUCAAACGGUUGAGAGGCGGCUCAGAGUUGAAGGGGUGCUUCCCUGUGAGACGGACCAUGGAAGGGUUCCGCUGGAUCCAACUAUCAGCCGUCCCUUCAUCUCUGGGGUCCACAAUCGACGGCUCCAGCUCACGGUUUCCCUUCUGGAUCAACUCACGAAACUCGUAGUUAUCAUUCUCAUCUUCACUACACGAAUCCUCCUCCUCCUCCUCCUGUUCUAUCUUGAC
rnacentral:misc_RNA from 1 species